CCCAAAGAGACUUAAGGUUUAACGCUUGGCUAUAUGAGAGAGAUCUUCACAAGAGUGAGAGAGAGCGUGAGAGUGAAAGUGAAGUAAAAGACUUGAUUCUCAUAGCAGCCCGGUAUAUCUUUGAAGUUGGUUUUCUUUCGAAAGGGUUUCUUGUGGUGAGAAGUAUGAGUUAUUUGAAGCACCAAAGAGGUGACUUGUAUUGUGUCCCUUCUCUUGUAAUAUCUUGAGUUUUGGGCAAAAAACUUGAGAAAAACAUAGUACUUUCUUAUUUCACAGUGGAUUUCUCUCAGAUUUACCCCGCAGUUGUUCCCUUAACUUUGAAGGGUUCUCCAUGUAAUAUUGGUUGUGGUUUGAUUU